UGCGUAGGCGGUGACAUCAGUCAGAAGUGAAAGUUGGCAGCUUAACUGCAAAAUUGCUUUUGAUACUGUGUCGCUUGAAUCAAGUUGAGGUUGGCGGAAUGUGACAUGUAGCGGUGAAAUGCUUAGAUAUGUCAUAGAACACCGAUUGCGAAGGCAGCUGACUAGACUUGUAUUGACGCUGAGGCACGAAAGCGUGGGGAGCGAACA
rnacentral:rRNA from 1 species